rnacentral:lncRNA from 1 species
ACGGGGAGGGCGACGGGGCCUGGCGCCUGGGGCCGGCCGCGCUCUCGGGCUCGCAGGCGCUGGGUCUCGGCUCCGGCUCCGGCUCCGCGCCGCUGGCUCUGCGUCGCUCGCACUCCAGCCGGGGGCACCCUCAUCCCAGGCUGACUGACGUCCCUGGCACCCAAAUGUCGCGGGGAGUGCGGGGCCAGGGUGCGCCCUCCCUCCUCCUCCAGCCAGUGAAACCCGGGACAGCGGCACCCAGCCCCAGGGCGGAGGCCGUCUCUGCUGCGCGCAGCGACGCACCCAGGCCCAAGGGCCGGGAGAUCCGCGGGGAACCCGGAGACCUGCGUCCCAGAGGGGCCGAGGGUUGCACCGCGCCCGCUCCCACGGGCCUCUUCCGAGAGGACGCUUCUCCCUCGUGUCCGCGGGAAGUCCUCGGAUCCUGGAUGAGAAAGAGCCUUCUCUCACCGGCUCCCAGACCCCGCGCUUUUUAAUACCUGUCCUUGCAGAGCGACUGGUCAUUUUAGGCCCGAGUCGAGCCUCUCUUGAUUAAUAAAUGAAUAUGGCUCGUUUUGUUUUAAAAAAAAAAAAAAAAA